UCCCUGGUGGCUCAGAUGGUAAAGCAUCUGCCUGCAAUGUCGGAGACCCAGGUUCGAUCCCUGGGUUGGGAA
rfam:Ovis aries breed Texel chromosome 16, whole genome shotgun sequence.